AAAAAAAAGAAGAAGAAGAAGAACUAUCUAAGAGGGUCUGAAUUUUAUCAAAAUUCAAAAUAGUAUUUACUUUUGCAAAGAAAGAAAUUUUUUUUUUUUUGGGUGCAAGGAAAGAUGUACUGGAUUACUAUUUCAAAAUUCAAAUUUUAAUUAUAGCCAUUUGAAAAAAUAUUACCGUUGAACAGAAUAAAAGAUGAAAAUUCAUAAAUAGUUACUAUUUCAGAAUUCAAUUUUGAAUUAGGAUGGUAACGAAGAGGUUGAAAAUCCUUUGAGUGAAAUUUCGUUUCAUGAAGAAGAAAAGGAAGAAAUCCCCGAGUUAACUCAGAGCAACAGAACGAGAUCAGUGCUUGAAAAUGGAAAUGGUUGCUGCGUUUGAAAAAAGCGUCUGGGUGGGCAAUAUUGACGUGGAGUGGAGCGCAUAAACCAAUUUACAAAUGGUCAUUGCUUUCUUUUUGCAGUUCUUCAAUAUUUACUUUUCAUGGAUGCCUUCUAAUUCUUUGAGCUUUGUGUUAUUUAUUUAUUUUUUAUAUUCAUUAUUGCUUCAUGCGCCCUUGCUUGGUUUCCAAAUUUGUGUUCAUUAUUCUUCUUUGAUGCCUUUUGAUUCUUUGAUUUCUGUUUCUAAUUUUGUCUGUCUAUCUUUCUAUUUGUUGUUGGAUGUAUUUUGUUCAAGUCUUUUAAUUUUAUGGUUCUCUUUAUCAGUUUAUUAUACUUAUUCUUCUGUACAGGUAUCGACUUUACUAAUUUUCUGUUGAGAUAAAUUGUUCAAAAUACUGUUGGAUUAUCAGAAUAGAUUUUUGGUAUGUGAAAAAGCAUGCACUUGCCCGAAACUUCUUUCUUCAGUGUAAAACAUGUUGUUAAUGAUUUUUGGACAUUUAUUGAUCAAUUAUAUAUGUCUGCAAUUUGGGCUUCUAUGUUUGGCUGGUGAUCUGAACAACAGAGAAAGAUGGAAAGCCAACAAUAAUAGAGGCAAGUUGACCUUUUCAUUUUGAGGAUGGCAAUUUUUUUGGCGAAUUUGUGUUUCUUUACUCGACAAAUGGUAUGGGUUCAUCAGUUGUGUAGCAUCAAGAAUAUGUUUAUUUUUUUUGUAUACUUCAAUACUAGCUUGAUUUGGGUAUUGUCCUCUCAAGUCAUCAUCGUUAACUUAUGUUAUUAUGUACUGUUAUAGUCUGUUAAUAUGUACUUGUGGCAUUGCUGUAUACUUUUUCUACAUAUUGAAAUUCAUGCAAGUAUUCAUUAUGUAUUUAUUUUAGUGAUGCUAGAAACUGAUUACAUAUUGAAAUUCAUGCAAGCAUUCAUUAUGUAUUUGUUUUGGUGAUGCUAGGAACUGAUUUUCCCAAGAUUUACAUCAAUUUGAAAGAAAGAAAAUGAACGAAGAGGGUAAAAUUUCCUGCAUUAGAUUGUAAUGUCUUUUUCCCCAAAAAAAAAAAAAAAAAAAAAAAAAAAAAAAAAAAAAAAAAACAUGUUGACAGAUUUCACCGUCAUAGAGUGCCAUCAGUCAUUCUUGUAUUUGGUACUGCCUGUGUUGGGUAGUCUACAAUUGCAACCCAACUCGCACGGAGGCUAAAUUUGCCAAAUAUCUUGCAGACAGAUAUGGUAUAUGAGUUGUUGUGCAUGUCGACAGACCACUUCUCAAGAUCUCUAACUCUAGUCAGAACCUUGCUACUAUUCAAAGCUAUGUUAGAACAAUACAUGAGGAAUGAUAAUUGAAUUUUAAACAUGCUUUUCAUUCAAAAUGAAUAGUUAUUGUAGCUCUUAACAGCUUUCUGCCUACUUGAACAAUGUCAAAGUGCUUAUUCUCUACUCAUUUUCGAUUCAAUGCACCAUUGGCAUCCAGUCCUAUAUGGGCACGGGAUUUCACCUCCUUCGAGGAGUUAAUUACUGAAUUUUGUAGGGAAUGCAGUAUUGUCCAUAAAGGUAUCCACUUUACUAAUUUGCUGUUGAGAGAAAAUUUUUAGAUAUUGUUACAUUAUGAUAAUAAAUUUUGAGUAUGUGAAAGCAUGACCAUGUUAAUGAUUUCUGGAAGUUAAUUGAUCGAUUAUAAUUUUGUGUCACGUGGGCUUCUAAAUUUGGCUGGUGAUCUGACGAAACAAUGAAAGUUGGAAAGCCAAUAAUAAUAGAGGUGGAUUGACCUUUUCAUCUUGCUUGAUUGCUGUCGGUCAAAGAAAUAGAUAUUUCUUUCUAUUUCUUCCUUUGCAAUCUCAUUUUUGCUAAUAACAAGGUAAUUAAUCUGUUUUCUAAAUUUUAGAAGAUGAAAGCACUCUGUGGUAGGUCCCUAUAUGUUUGCACUACUUGGUUUUAAUAAGGGUAUCUCCCUAAAUAUCAUCAUGUGAUCUGAUUAUUCUAUCAUGCUUCAUGAAUUGAACUACAGUCUGAGCUUAAUUCAUGAAUUGGAGUAUAAUGAUUAUCAUAAGCUAGAAUAGUCACUUAAGAUUAUUGAUUGCAAGACUUCUCCACCAAGAGGUUGAAUAAUUGUGGCUGUGACUUAUGACCUGUGAGCAUGUGUGGUUUGGUCAGGUGUGAUCAUUGUAGUUGGUUUUCCUUACUUGGGUGAUAUCCUGCUUGGACUUUCAUUUUGUUCUCUUCUGGGUGGUUUGCUUUUGAUUCUAUUUAUUUUUAGAAUAAAUGGGGGUCAAUUUUUUACUCAAGUGUCCAUUAUUAAGUUUUGAGAAAAGUGGUGGAGAUUGAUAUUUUGGGCUUUCCUAAUUAAUAAUGAUAAUAAUUAACUGGUUUCUCUUCUUCUGUGUUUCCUUUUUUCUUGGUAGUUAUGUUGGAUUGUUUGGUUGAUCUAGUGGACUUUGAACUCCAACACAUAAUAGUGGCUUUUUUUUUUUUUUUUUUUUUUUUUAACUUGUCUAGUAAAAGUAAACAGAUUCCCUGCUGCAACAAAUGUUGCAUAGUUUUAUAAGUAGAAGCAGGAUUUCAAGAGCAACCCAAUUAGGCUGUUUUAACUUUUGUUGUUCAAGCAGUAAAUUCUGUAACAUUGAUUAUACAUGUUAUUUACUUGUCUUAAAUAAUUUAUUAUGAGAGUGUUCUGUGCACAUGGUGAAUCUUACUCUGAGAUUGGUUGAUGUCCAUUGUUCCUUUGAUGAUAUAGUUACAGGGAAUUCAUUUGGACCAAGUAUAUAUGAUUAUGAGAAUAAUAAGUCAACAUCUGCCAAGAAAAAAAAAAGUUUAGAAGGCAAAUUCUGCACCAUUGCAACAGAUGACACUGAUUCACUACUGGAAAAUAAUUCUUCAACCGUUCCUGAAAGCCAAGGUGAAGCUAGCAAAUGUACGAAGCAUGGCAGUUUAGAAAAAGAAAUAUUAUCCAACAAGAAGAAAUAAACGUGUCUCAGAAUAUUGAAAGAGUGCAAAUGCACAAUAAUAUGAAGGUUGGUGGACAAAAACUUUUGUAUGUUAGACAUUAGUGUUGUUUCAGAGGUAAAUAACUGUCCUCAUUACUGUUUUCUUGUGGAAGAAAUGACCUUUCAGUAUUGUUUUAUGUUUUGUUCUUUUUUCCACAUUUUUAUUUUCUUUAAUUGACUAUGGAAUUGAAAGUAUUUUUAAAAUCAACUUUUUAAACACUUAUGCGAAUGAGCUUUCUGAUACCUGCCUAUGUUCCUAAAUGUAACAGCCUUUUAAAAACAAAUAAAAAAAUAGGUAAGAGAGUUCCUCAAAGUUGCUGUGUUUCUAAAUGUAAGCAUCUCUCGGGUGUGUAUGAUGAUCUCAUUUGGCACUUGGAUAUCACUUUGGUUUCAUGUCUUAGGUAGUGCCUACAACUUGGGGACAAGACAAGGUUCAUAUGUGCUUGGAAUGGAAAUGGUUGCUGCAUUUGAAAAAGCAUUUGCCUUAGGCAAUAUAUUUACAUGGGGUGGCCACACAAACCAGUUCACAAAUGGCCAUUGCUUUCUUUUGUAGUUCUUCAAUAUUUAUUUUUCAUGGAUGCCUUUUGAUUCUUUGGGCUUUCUGCUAUUUUUCUCUGUACUUUUUGAAUAUUCUUUAUUGCUUCAUGUGCCCUUGCUUGCUUGUCAAAUUUAUAUCAUGUUAUCAUGUGGUAAGGGAGACAUCUGAGCUUACUAAAUGAUAUGAAGUGUGAUUAUUAUUUUUUUAGUGUGACUGCUUUUCAUCACAAAGUAGAAUAGUUACUUUAAAUUUUGUGAGAUUCUCCACCAAGAUGAAUAUGAGCAUGUGUGGUUGGUCAGGUGUGUUCAUUGUAGUUGGUUUUCCUUACUUGGAUGCUAUCCUGCUUGGGCUUUUUGUUUUGUUCUAUUUGGGCGGUUUAGGUUUUUUGGCUCAGUUCCUAAAAUUAGUGAGGUUGAAUUUUAAAAGGAUGACAUCGGUGGAACAAAUGUUGAAUAAUUUUUAUAAGUUAGAGGAUGAAUAUGAGCAUGAGUGGUUGGUCAGGUGUGUUAAUUUUAGUUGGUUUUCCUUACUUGGUUGCUAUCCUGCUUGGACUUUUGUUUAUUUGGGCGGUUUUCAUGUUUUGGCUCAGUUCUUAAAGGCAUGGCUCCUUUAUUAGCCCCCAAAAAAAAAAUUCACAGGUAUGCACCUUUGUGUCUUUUUCAUCUUGUCUGAUGGGUUGUAGUCAGAGAUUUCCAUUAUCAAAGCAUUUUUAGUGUUUUGCAAUUGAAAGAAUUGGUUUAGCUGAGGGGAGCUCAAACUCAGUGGAGAAUGUAAUUAUUAUUUGGUUUUCAUUUCAUAUUUGUUAUUAUUAUUAUUAUUAUUUAGUUUUUCUUAUUCAUGUAUACUUUCUCUAUUAAUAUUUCAAAAUAUAGGUUCAGUGCUUCUUCAAACUUACUUUGAUGUUUUAGUCCAAGCUGUAGUGUUAAGUUAAUAGCCAUAGUAGAUGGCAAAUGGGACAGCUAGACAACUAACUUAGUUCCUCACAUCUUCAACUUAUCAUCAAAUUUAGUGGUUCUUCUUUUUUGUAAUGUUUUGUUGCAUGCCCCUCUGAUAUGGUUGGUUUACUUAAAUCCUGGAAUAUUCAGUGGUAAUGAGAGUCAGAAUGAGUCUAUGGUAAUAAGUCUUUUUAACCUUGAAAUGGGAAAUGUGGUGGAAACACGUAGACCAAUGUAUUUUUGGGUUUGUGAAAUAUUUAAGUUUCAUUUCAUUUUAAGCUUCUUUAAGGCAAUUUUGGUGUAUACUCUGCAUGCCAUGAUUAGCUAUAGAUUCAUGUCAAACAAUUGGAAUUGGAUCAAGCAUGUGGAAAGUGAUCUAGAACUGCAUUUGUGGGUUCAAUGCAAAAAUUGAAUUUAUCUUUUAUGAAAAGGCAAUUUUGCAAAUUAGGAUAUUCAUUCCUUUAAGCAAAAACUUAAAAAAUAAAAAUAAGAAUUCUUUACAUAUUUAUUUUUUAAUUGUCCGUUUCUUCCGUUGCUUUGUUAUUAUCACCUCUCAAUUAUUUUUGAAAAUUUUUAAAUUGAUUCUGGAUAAAUUACUUUUAUUUUUCUCUCUUUCUGAACUAGUUGUGCUAUUACUGCAAUUUCUUUCUCCUGAUAAAUUUGGUUAUUUAACGAGUGCAUUGAGCAAGGAAUUUCAUCAGUGUCCAAUGGCGAUGUUAGGCAGCUUGGGAGGAUUUAGCUUUACAUGCACAGAUAAACUCAAGUCAAGUAUAGUUGGUUUUCAAUUUGAAGCCAUUGCCGAUGCAUCUUUGGAACACGGUCUUCAAGUAUAGUUGGAUUUAUCUUUUCAACAGAAUGGAUUUCAACAUGGUGUUUUUAUUCUUUCUUCCACUUGCAUUAUCUGUUUUUUGUGAGUUUGAUGCUUCAUAAACUAUAACUUUCCAUGUCAAACCAGAUGAUGAACAACGCUUAAAGGUUCCUCCUCAUUGAAAACCCAAUGAAGAAGUUAUAGUAGUUGAUUGGUAACUUUUU